AGGUGCAUAUAUCCCAUGAGACCAGAUUGUCCAAAGCGGCACGUUUCCUCUCUGCAGAAAAGACGAGAGAAGGCAGGCAGCUCCCGGGUUAGCGCAAUAAUCAAGAUGGCGACCGGAUUUUGGACUUAAAAUGGCGAAAAUGAUAAAAAUCAGUCAGCAGAUUCCACCAUAGCCCGGCUGCCCCCGAAACCAGGGGGUGUCUGUUUUCAACAGUCAAGAAUGGUGCUGGUUCUGACUCUGGAAGACAGCUUGGAUUGAACAAAGAAUUAGGCGAAACAGCAGCUGUGAAUCUUAGCCUGCCCGUCGUUGCAGUGCAAUAUUAUAAUAUAUUGAUUAAGCGUCUGGAUAUCCGCCAUCGGGCCAGCGCUGGGUGCAAUGCUGGAUUAUUCACACAUUCGACCUCCAACCCAGAACAACAACAAACAGCUCAGCGCUCGCUGCUCGCUCCGCCCGGCGCUCGCCAGAUUGGACGAUUACGGGUCGUGACACCGACGGUUUGGCAGUAACGUUCAUCUCACAUCAUCUCCGAGUACAGAGAUGACAGAAAACCAAGGGAGCUGCAACUUAAGGUCCUCAGCUGGAUUCAAACUGAGGAUGAUGCGGCUCAUUGUUGGCGUCUGAAACCCUGAGCCGCAGGAGGUAACCAGAGGCAUUUAUGUUCCCCGUUCUCCAAUACUAUGUCAUAAAAGCUAAUGACAUUCCCAUCAACCUCAGCUGCAUUAUGUUGGUACUGUAUGUGUAUUCAGAGCCAGUGAGCAAGGGACUUUCAAAAUAAUAAUAAUAAAAUA